GGCGCCUUCUGCGGAUGAGAGGAGUCACGAGCGCCUUGCCCAGCUGCUCUAGAAACACCCUCCUCUUGCUGCGGUUGCCGGGCAUCCAGUCCGGGUGGGCCUCCCGCCACACGACGAAAGCGUUGUAGCAAGACACGUCUAGGACGUUGUGAAACACCGCCACGGGCCAGCGCGCCGUCUUUCUCCUGCAGCUGUAGAUUCCUAUCACCUUGUCCAGGUUGUCUACGCCUCCCUUGGUGGCGUUGUAGUCUAGGACGGCAAAGGGAUCACGUUUUUGUUUUUCUUGGGCACAUAGGACACCAGGACGGUGCUGGGAGUGAAGGCAAACACGGAGGAGAAGGCGCUCCUUCCCUUGAAGGAGCGCCGGCGGCAAUUCCGGCUUGUUCUUGCGAACCGUACCGAGCAUGGUGAGCUCCCUGCGCAGGAGCCGCUGGCCCAGUUCGUAGGAAGUGAAAAAGUUGUCGCACGUCACGUUGCGAGGCCCGGCGAGCCCUUCUGUGACGUCCAGCACGACCCGCUGGCCCUGCUUUUUUUCAGAAGCUCUCUUUUCUCCUCCUCCUCCUCCUGGCUUGCCUGUGUAAAGCUGCAUCUUCCAAGCGUAGCUGGACUUGGCGUCGCACGCCACCCAAAACUUGAGGCCGUAUUUUGCUGGCUUGCUAGGCAUGUACUCUCUGAAAGAGCAACGACCUACAAAAAAAUAAAGGUGAGAUUUUUAAAAAUAUAUAUUUUUUACAGAGGUAAAAAAAGAAAGCCUGCGUGCUACGUGUUUUCUGCAUGUCUGCGUGUGUGUGUGUGUGUGUGUGUCUAUGUGCCUGUGUGUGUAUGUGUGUGUGUCUGUGCCUGUGUCUGCAUGUCUGCGUGUGUGUGUGUGUGUGUGUGUGUGUCUGUCUGUGUUUGUGUGUCUGUGUCUGCAUGUUUUUUUGUUUUUUUGUUUGCUUUACCUCUGAAAGGUACCAGUUGCUCGUCCACCGUCACGUUAGGACCCGGGUCGUAGAGGCUGGGCAGCCGCUCCACCCACGCGUCCCAGACCUCUCUCACGGCUGCCAGUUUGU
rnacentral:lncRNA from 1 species